rnacentral:rRNA from 2 species
AAAUUGAAGAGUUUGAUCAUGGCUCAGAUUGAACGCUGGCGGCAGGCCUAACACAUGCAAGUCGAACGGUAACAGGAAGCAGCUUGCUGCUUUGCUGACGAGUGGCGGACGGGUGAGUAAUGUCUGGGAAACUGCCUGAUGGAGGGGGAUAACUACUGGAAACGGUGGCUAAUACCGCAUAACGUCGCAAGACCAAAGAGGGGGACCUUCGGGCCUCUUGCCAUCAGAUGUGCCCAGAUGGGAUUAGCUUGUUGGUGAGGUAACGGCUCACCAAGGCGACGAUCCCUAGCUGGUCUGAGAGGAUGACCAGCCACACUGGAACUGAGACACGGUUCAGACUCCUACGGGAGGCAGCAGUGGGGAAUAUUGCACAAUGGGCGCAAGCCUGAUGCAGCCAUGCCGCGUGUAUGAAGAAGGCCUUCGGGUUGUAAAGUACUUUCAGCGGGGAG